CCCAAUGCCUGUGAUAACCCAAGGAAGAAAUCAUCAAAUAAACUGACAAAUAGCACUCAUUGGCUUGAGAAUUGAAUAUCUAAGUGUGAAUUCUAACCUGCUACUUGCCAAUUGUGUGACCGUGGCAUGUUAAUUGCUAUUGUGGAGCCUCAAUUUAUUCCUUUAUACCCAAAGUUUUCAUUAAGCCUAAUUCCCAAAGGAAGAAAUAACCUCUGGAAAAAAGAAGCCACACAAAGUUAUCAAAGGAGGAGGAGGCAGAGGAGGAGGAGGAAGAGGAAGAGGAGGAAGAAGAAGAAAAGAAGAAGCACCUGCUGUUCUUCCGCCAUUAAGAUUACGCCAUAAGAUGAAGGCCUACUGUCCUGGGAG